rnacentral:rRNA from 1 species
CAGGACGAACGCUGGCGGCGUGCCUAAUACAUGCAAGUCGAACGGUCUUUCUAUGGAAGCUUGCUUCCACUGAGAAGAUAGUGGCGAACGGGUGAGUAACACGUGGGUAACCUGCCCAUAAGAGGGGGGAUAACAUCCGGAAACGGGUGCUAAUACCGCAUAGUUUUCUUGGUCGCAUGAUCGGGAAAGGAAAGACGGCCUUUGUGCUGUCGCUUAUGGAUGGACCCGCGGCGUAUUAGUUAGUUGGUGAGGUAACGGCUCACCAAGACGAUGAUACGUAGCCGACCUGAGAGGGUGAUCGGCCACAUUGGGACUGAGACACGGCCCAAACUCCUACGGGAGGCAGCAGUAGGGAAUCUUCCGCAAUGGACGAAAGUCUGACGGAGCAACGCCGCGUGAGUGAAAGAAGGUUUUCGGAUCGUAAAACUCUGUCGUCAGAGAAGAACAAGUUGGAGAGUAACUGCUCCAGCCUUGACGGUAUCUGACCAGAAAGCCACGGCUAACUACGUGCCAGCCGCCGC